GUGGGGAAUAUUGGACAAUGGGGGGAACCCUGAUCCAGCCAUGCCGCGUGUGUGAAGAAGGCCUUUUGGUUGUAAAGCACUUUAAGCGAGGAGGAGGCUACCGAGAUUAAUACUCUUGGAUAGUGGACGUUACUCGCAGAAUAAGCACCGGCUAACUCUGUGCCAGCAGCCGCGGUAAUACAGAGGGUGCAAGCGUUAAUCGGAUUUACUGGGCGUAAAGCGCGCGUAGGUGGCCAAUUAAGUCAAAUGUGAAAUCCCCGAGCUUAACUUGGGAAUUGCAUUCGAUACUGGUUGGCUAGAGUAUGGGAGAGGAUGGUAGAAUUCCAGGUGUAGCGGUGAAAUGCGUAGAGAUCUGGAGGAAUACCGAUGGCGAAGGCAGCCAUCUGGCCUAAUACUGACACUGAGGUGCGAAAGCAUGGGGAGCAAACAGGAAUAGAAACCCCGGUAGUCC
rnacentral:rRNA from 1 species